rnacentral:tRNA from 1 species
GGCCGCGGGCAGCGGCGGGGUCACCGAGCGUGCUUCGAGCAUGCUGAUGGCGGAUUCGCGACGUGCCCGGUGUUCGGCCAUCGCCGUGGCCACCA